AUUGAACGCUGGCGGCAUGCCUUACACAUGCAAGUCGAACGGCAGCACGGGGCAACCUGGUGGCGAGUGGCGAACGGGUGAGUAAUGCAUCGGAACGUGCCCAGUUGUGGGGGAUAACUGCUCGAAAGAGCAGCUAAUACCGCAUACGACCUGAGGGUGAAAGCGGGGGAUCGCAAGACCUCGCGCAAUUGGAGCGGCCGAUGUCAGAUUAGGUAGUUGGUGGGGUAAAGGCCUACCAAGCCUACGAUCUGUAGCUGGUCUGAGAGGACGACCAGCCACACUGGGACUGAGACACGGACCAGACUCCUACGGGAGGCAGCAGUGGGGAAUUUUGGACAAUGGGGGCAACCCUGAUCCAGCCAUGCCGCGUGCGGGAAGAAGGCCUUCGGGUUGUAAACCGCUUUUGUCAGGGAAGAAAUCCUUUGAACUAAUACUUCGAAGGGAUGACGGUACCUGAAGAAUAAGCACCGGCUAACUACGUGCCAGCCGCCGCCGUAAGAC
rnacentral:rRNA from 1 species